rnacentral:rRNA from 1 species
CGGGUGAGUAACGCGUGGGUAACCUGCCUUGUACUGGGGACAACAGUGGAAACGACUGCUAAUACCGCAUAAGCGCACAGCUUCGCAUGAAGCAGUGUGAAAAACUCCGGUGGUACAAGAUGGACCCGCGUCUGAUUAGCUGGUUGGUGAGGUAACGGCCCACCAAGGCGACGAUCAGUAGCCGGCCUGAGAGGGUGAACGGCCACAUUGGGACUGAGACACGGCCCAA